rnacentral:rRNA from 1 species
UGAGGAACAUGACCUUCGGCGGGGAUAGCUGGCCCAACGGCCGGGUAAUACCGCGUACGACCACAUGGGGACAUCCCUGAGUGGUGAAAGCAGCAAUGCGCCGAUGGAGUGCCUCGCGGCCUAUCAGCUAGUUGGUGAGGUAACGGCUCACCAAGGCGACGACGGGUANCUGGUCUGAGAGGAUGGCCAGCCACAUUGGGACUGAGACACGGCCCAGAUCCGACGGG